UACGUAGGUGGCAAGCGUUGUCCGGAAUUAUUGGGCGUAAAGCGCGCGCAGGCGGUUUCUUAAGUCUGAUGUGAAAGCCCCCGGCUCAACCGGGGAGGGUCAUUGGAAACUGGGAAACUUGAGUGCAGAAGAGGAGAGUGGAAUUCCACGUGUAGCGGUGAAAUGCGUAGAGAUGUGGAGGAACACCAGUGGCGAAGGCGACUCUCUGGUCUGUAACUGACGCUGAGGCGCGAAAGCGUGGGGAGCGAACAGG
rnacentral:rRNA from 2 species